rnacentral:rRNA from 1 species
AACGAACGCUGGCGGCAUGCCUAACACAUGCAAGUCGAACGAGACCUUCGGGUCUAGUGGCGCACGGGUGCGUAACGCGUGGGAACCUGCCCUUAGGUUCGGAAUAACUCCCCGAAAGGGGUGCUAAUACCGGAUAAUGUCUUCGGACCAAAGAUUUAUCGCCUUUGGAUGGGCCCGCGUUGGAUUGGCUAGUUGGUAGGGUAAAAGCCUACCAAGGCGACGAUCCAUAGCUGGUCUGAGAGGAUGAUCAGCCACACUGGGACUGAGACACGGCCCAGACUCCUACGGGAGGCAGCAGUGGGGAAUAUUGGACAAUGGGCGAAAGCCUGAUCCAGCAAUGCCGCGUGAGUGAUGAAGGCCUUAGGGUUGUAAAGCUCUUUUACCCGGGAUGAUAAUGACAGUACCGGGAGAAUAAGCUCCGGCUAGCUCCGUG